rnacentral:rRNA from 1 species
GAUGAACGCUGGCGGCGUGCCUAACACAUGCAAGUCGAGCGAACGGACGAUAAGCUUGUUCUUCUGAUGUUAGCGGCGGACGGGUGAGUAACACGUGGAUAACCUACUUAUAAGACUGGGAUAACUACGGGAAACCGGAGCUAAUACCGGAUAAUACUACCAACCGCAUGGUUCAAAAGUGAAAGACGGCUUUGCUGUCUCUUAGAGACGGAUCCGGGUUGCAUUAGCUAGUUGGUAAGGUAACGGCUUACCAAGGCAACGAUGCAUAGCCGACCUGAUAGGAUGACCGGCCCCAGUGGAACUGGGACCCGGUCCAGACUCCUACGGGAGGCAGCAGUGGGGAUUUUUCGACAUUGGGCGAAGGCCUGAGAGAGCCAGACCGCGUGGGUGAUGAAGGUCUUCGAGUUGUAAAGCUCUUUUGUUGGGAAAGAAAAUCAGGGUAGUAAUCCGCCCCUGUUCUGACGGUACCAAAGUAGAAAGCAACGGCUAACUGCGUG